rnacentral:lncRNA from 1 species
UUGGGAAACUGUGAUGAUUGCCCCCCAGGAAUGAUACAUUUGGCCUCCUCCGGACAAUCAGAUCUGAAUUGUUAACAGUACCACAAAUAUGAGUCUGUUCGCUUGUCUAAGAACUAAAAAUAUUGUUCACUGAUUUGUUUAUUGUAAGAGAAAAACACUACUAGCUAGCAGAAAACGUACGGAUUACAAGCGAUGGUCUGAUUAGAAUUGAAAAACUGUGAUGAUUGCCCCCGAGGGAUGGUACAUUUGGC